UACGUAGGGUGCGAGCGUUAAUCGGAAUUACUGGGCGUAAAGCGUGCGCAGGCGGUUCGUUAAGUCAGCUGUGAAAGCCCCGGGCUCAACCUGGGAAUUGCGGUUGAAACUGGCGAACUAGAAUCUGGCAGAGGGGGGUGGAAUUCCACGUGUAGCAGUGAAAUGCGUAGAGAUCUGGAGGAACACCGAUGGCGAAGGCAGCCCCCUGGGCUAACACUGACGCUCAUGCACGAAAGCGUGGGGAGCAAACAGG
rnacentral:rRNA from 1 species